rnacentral:tRNA from 2 species
GCCGAGGUGGUGAAACUGGUAAACACGCUAUCUUGAGGGGGUAGUUCCUAUUUUUAGGUAUGCGGGUUCAAAUCCCGUCCUCGGUA